rfam:Apaloderma vittatum contig53789, whole genome shotgun sequence.
GGGCCAGUCAGCUCAGUCAGUAGAGCAUAGCGCUAAGAGCGCUAAGGUCGCAGGUUCGAUUCCCGCUCGGUCCC